GGGCCUAUAGCUCAAUUGGUAGAGCCACCGGCUCAUAACCGGUAGGUCCCUGGUUCGAUCCCAGGUGGGCCCACCA
rnacentral:tRNA from 5 species